GAUGAACGCUGGCGGCGUGCCUAAUACAUGCAAGUCGAGCGAACUGACGAGAAGCUUGCUUCUCUGAUGUUAGCGGCGGACGGGUGAGUAACACGUGGAUACCCUACCUAUAAGACUGGGAUAACUUCGGGAAACCGUAGCUAAUACCGGAUCAUAUUUUGAACCGCAUGGUUCAAAAGUGAAAGACGGUCUUGCUGUCACUUAUAGAUGGAUCCGCGCUGCAUUAGCUAGUUGGUAAGGUAACGGCUUACCAAGGCAACGAUGCAUAGCCGACCUGAGAGGGUGAUCGGCCACACUGGAACUGAGACACGGUCCAGACUCCUACGGGAGGCAGCAGUAGGGAAUCUUCCGCAAUGGGCGAAAGCCUGACGGAGCAACGCCGCGUGAGUGAUGAAGGUCUUCGGAUCGUAAAACUCUGUUAUUAGGGAAGAACAUAUGUGUAAGUAACUGUGCACAUCUUGACGGUACCUAAUCAGAAAGCCACGGCUAACUACGUG
rnacentral:rRNA from 1 species